AUUGAACGCUGGCGGCAUGCCUUACACAUGUAAGUCGAACGGCAGCGCGGGCUUCGGCCUGGCGGCGAGUGGCGGACGGGUGAGUAAUGCAUCGGAACGUGCCCAGGAGUGGGGGAUAACGUAGCGAAAGUUACGCUAAUACCGCAUACGUACUGAGGUAGAAAGCGGGGGAUCGAAAGACCUCGCGCUCAUGGAGCGGCCGAUGUCGGAUUAGCUAGUUGGCGGGGUAAAAGCCCACCAAGGCGACGAUCCGUAGCUGGUCUGAGAGGACGACCAGCCACACUGGGACUGAGACACGGCCCAGACUCCUACGGGAGGCAGCAGUGGGGAAUCUUGGGCAAUGGGGGAAACCCUGAUCCAGCAAUGCCGCGUGUGGGAUGAAGGCCCUCGGGUUGUAAACCACUUUUGGCAGGAAAGAAAUCGCCUGUGCUAAUACCACGGGCGGAUGACGGUACCUGCAGAAUAAGCACCGGCUAACUACGUGCCAGCCGCCGCCGUAA
rnacentral:rRNA from 1 species